GAUGAACGCUGGCGGCGUGCCUAAUACAUGCAAGUCGAGCGAACGGACGAGAAGCUUGCUUCUCUGAUGUUAGCGGCGGACGGGUGAGUAACACGUGGAUAACCUACCUAUAAGACUGGGAUAACUUCGGGAAACCGGAGCUAAUACCGGAUGAUAUUUUGAACCGCAUGGUUCAAAAGUAAAAGACGGUCUUGCUGUCACUUAUAGAUGGAUCCGCGCUGCAUGAGCUAGUUGGUAAGGUAACGGCUUACCAAGGCAACGAUGCAUAGCCGACCUGAUAGGGUGAUCGGCCACACUGGAACUGAGACACGGUCCAUACUCCUACGGGAGGCAGCAGUAGGGAAUCUUCCGCAAUGGGCGAAAACCUGACGGAGCAACGCCGCGUGAGUGAUGAAGGUCUUCGGAUCGUAAAAAUCUGUUAUUAGGGAAGAACAUAUGUGUAAGUAACUGUGCACAUCUUGACGGUACCUAAUCAGAAAGCCACGGCUAACUACGUG
rnacentral:rRNA from 1 species